rnacentral:rRNA from 1 species
AAACUUUCAACAACGGAUCUCUUGGCUCUGGCAUCGAUGAAGAACGCAGCGAAAUGCGACAAGUAAUGUGAAUUGCAGAAUUCAGUGAAUCAUCGAAUCUUUGAACGCACAUUGCGCCCCUCGGUAUUCCGGGGGGCAUGCCUGUCCGAGCGUCAUUA